GUUUCUCCGUGAAAAUUGUAGCCAAACUAUUUUUAACUUCAGAUCAUUGAUUUCACAUAUGUUUGAUAAGGUUUAAGAUGGGCUGAACAUUCUCUAUGAAGUAAUCCUAUAGAAAUUAUUUAUCUUGUACCAUUAAAAAUAAUUGGUGAUUCAAAUGAUACAUUUCUUUACAUAAAUAUAUCACUGCAAGUAGGGGCGAAGUUAGAAAUCUUGUAUGGGGGGUGAGAUAAGAUUAUAAAAUUUGUGGAGGCUCAAGUUUAAAAAUUUUCUAUUAAAAAUGUUUAAAGUAAAUUAAAUUAUUAAAUUUUCAAAGCUAGAAAUCACUGUAUUGCCUUAUUUGAGUAAUGGUAGGAUUUGCUCUCAAAAGUGGUGUCUCCCUGCUUGUCCGCAUCCCACAAGUCAUAAACAUGGAGGUAGGUCAUUAUCUUCACUACCUAAAUGUGGUAGAUUUCUUCAGCAAAAACAAGUGGAGGAGGGAGUGAGAAGUUUGCUGAAGACAUGUUUUACAACAACAACAUGUUUUACAACAACAAGAAACAAAGAAGCUUCUAUCAUUUUUAACAAGAAACAGAAACAAAAACAAUGACCCUUAAAGACAACACGCUCUUGAUAGCAAUUAUAGUAAUACUAUAAUUAUAGUUGUACAAGCCCAAUUUUGGGCCCAAAGCCCACUAAAUACCCACUACACCCAAAACAAAUAACCUACCCAAAUCACCCCAAAGACCCAAACCUACCCAUGCCCACACACACAACAAAAGAAAAAAGCUAAGGAAACCCUAGCCGUUCAGCACCUGCUCCCCAUCCCAUCCACCACCGACGUCUACAAGCACCGCCACUGUGCCACCGCCCCACUUGCGCCUGCAACAUUAAAAAAAGGAGAAUAGACAGAUAUUAAAAAAGGGAAAUGUAAUGGCUAUUUAAAAGCCAAAUCCAAAAACCAUGUAUUUUUCAGGCAUUUUCAGUAAAAAUAAAGAGCAAUAUUAGAUCGUAAAACAGAAGCAAAAAACAAAGAAACCCUAGCAAUAUCAAACAACAAAAUCAGUUCAAACAGAGAAAUAAACAUCUAAUAACCGAAGGUGAUUCAUCUUAAUCUUCUUGCUUUUUCUUUCUUUUUCACUUACUCUACUCACAUAUAUAUAUACGCUUUAAAAAUAUAUAUAUAAAAAUUUCUUACCUUUUUCGAUCUCCACGGUGGCCGGUACGGCGGACCUCACGGCGGCGCUAGGUCUGCACCUCGCCGGCUUCUGGGCCGACAGACCGAGGGAGAGAGAGAGGAUUCGGGGCUUUUUUGAAGGAGAGCAGAGGAGAA
rnacentral:lncRNA from 1 species